rnacentral:lncRNA from 10 species
ACUACAGGAAGGAUAUACAGAUAGUCUCAGUUGUAAAUGAUUUACUUAAAAUCAUCAUUCUAUGGGAAAACUGUAUAAUCUAUAGCAUUUUUUAUCUUCUUUGGAUGAAUUCUAAGAAAUGCUGCUCUUGCAAUCUCAUCUAUUGUGCUACAGAACUUUACACCAAAGUGUAGCAGAAUCUCAAGGUGCCAGCUGUGAGCUCCCAGGAAUAAAUAGUUGAACUUGUGUUCCCAGUUAAGGGGUUUGGACCUUACCAUGGGGGUACAUGGAUCAGAUUUGUGAUUUGGGAUGGUCAUAGGCUGGAAGUGGCAAAGGGCGAAAGGAGCAAGUUCAGAGGCAAGGAGACAGUUGUGAGGCAGGGCAGAUGAGCUGGGUGGAUGAUGGAUUCCUGAACUACGGAUGUGGCAGAUAACAAAGUAUGUUGAGUGAGGGUGAGAAAAUGUCACGAAUGACUCACACGUUUCUGGCAGUGAGUUAGGAAGCAAGGACAUGUGAAGUAGGUUUCUGGGAUACACAUAGAAGGCAGAAUGAGCUUUCAGCAGAACUUUUGACUUGCAGCUCCUUUUCUGUAUUUUGCUCCCACAUCUGGGUAUCCUUUUCCACACAUUUUAGGAGCUUGGUGCCCUCAUCUACGUCUCUGGCUAUUCAGCCCUUCCAUUCCUACCCAAGCCUACAUAUAGGCCCCCACUCCACCUCGAUUCCUUCAGUGUUCACGUCUCCCUUGUAUCCUUUUGUCCCCCACCCUACCCA